CCUACGGGAGGCAGCAGUGGGGAAUAUUGCACAAUGGGGGAAACCCUGAUGCAGCGACGCCGCGUGAGCGAUGAAGUAUUUCGGGGUGUAAAGCUCUAUCAGCAGGGGAGAAGAUGACGGUACCUGACUAAGAAGCUCCGUCUAACUACGGGCCAGCAGCCGCGGUAAUACGUAGGGGGCAAGCGUUAUCCGGAUUUACUGGGCGUAAUGGGAGCGUAGACGGCGCUGCAAGCCAGGUGUGAAAGCCCGGGGCUCAACCCCGGGACUGCAUUUGAAACUGUGUGGCUGGAGUGUCGGAGAGGCAGGCGGAAUGCGUGGUGUAGCGGUGAAAUGCGUAGAUAUUAGGAAGAACACCAGUGGCGAAGGCAGCCUGCUGGACGGUGACUGACGUUGAGGCUCGAAAGCGUGGGUAGCAAACAGGAUUAGAUACCCCUGUAGUC
rnacentral:rRNA from 1 species